rnacentral:lncRNA from 1 species
AAAAUCGCUUAUGUAAAAGAAAUAAUAUGUAUUUUAUUUUUGAGUGAAUUCACUGAAAUAGAAUGUGAAGUGGUCUUUUUUCAUAAAAGCCCAAUAGGCGAUGACCUCAAUCAUCAAAACUCAUUAUCAUAACCGUUACCAUCAAAGACGAUUACCAUUACAAAUACGCAAACCUAUUCUAUAAAUGGAUUCGGAUCCUCUGCUGCUUUGCUUUUCCCUAACAUGAUCUGCUUGACUUUUAUUCUCAACACACCAACUCAUUACAAUUUGAUCUAAAGAGUUUAAAAUUUGACAUAUAUCUUUAAAACAAAAACCCAAUUUACUACAAAUUUAAAAACAAACCAAAAAAAACCCUAACCCAACUAACGACCUCUACAAGAUUUCCUUUCCCAAAACCUCUGUAAUCUCUUCUCUUUCCUUUCUACAAGAUAAAAAAAAUAACUUCCCAUAUCCAUGAAGAGGGUGGUUUCAAAAACCCCCAAAAAAAAAAAAGAAGGUAUUCUUGCCUUUCGUUUGGAUGAG